CCGUUUUCACGCCGAUUCUGUCC
rnacentral:siRNA from 1 species